UCGUCUGGCUCGUUUUGCUCAGCAUUGUGUUUGCAGGGUCCUUCCAUGUUGGAGUGUGUAUCAAAAUUCAAUUCCUUUUUUACAACUGAAUAUUACUGCAUUCCACGUGUUUUUCUACUUGUUUUUCCAUGCAGCCAUUGGUGGACACUUGGGUUGUUUCCAUGCUUUGGCUGUUGUGGAGAGUGCCAUUAGGAACAUGAGGCACUGGUUCCUGUUCAAGGCUCUGCUUUCACUUUUUUGUGACUUUAUAUUUAACCUUGUGUUUAUUAGCCAAUUGCAUAUCAUUUUGGGGGAGGUGGAUUACCAGGGAUUGAACCUAGAGGCACUUUAGCACCGAGCCACAUCCCCAGUCCCCGCCCCCCCUUUUUAAGUUGUAGUUGGACACAAUGCCUUUAUUUUUAUUUAUUUAUUUUUAUGUGGUGCUGAGGAUCAAACCCAGUGCCUUACCUGUGCUAGGCGAGCACUCUACCACUGAGCCACAACCCCAGCCCCUUAAAAUAUAUAUAGAGGGGGGGGGCGGGGAGGGAGGGAGG
rnacentral:lncRNA from 1 species